GAUGAACGCUGGCGGCGUGCCUAACACAUGCAAGUCGAGCGGAAGGACGGGAAGCUUGCUGCUCUGAUGUUAGCGGCGGACGGGAGAGUAACCCGUGGAUAACCUACCUUUUAGACUGGGAUAAUAUCGGGAAAUCGUAUCUAAUACUGGCUAAUAUUAUGAACGGAAGGGAUCAACAGUGAAAGAGAGCUUUGCGGUCCCUUAGAGAUGGAGCCGGGUUGCAUUAGCUAGUUGGUAAGGUAACGGCUUGGCAAGGGGACGAUGCAUAGCCGACCUGAGAGGGUGAUCAGCCACACUGGAACUGAGACACGGUCCAGACUCCUACGGGAGGCAGCAGUAGGGAAUCUUGCGCAAUGGGCGAAAGCCUGACGGAGCAACACCGCGUGAGUGAUGAAGGUCUUCGGAUUGUAAAACGCUGUUAUUAGGAAAGAACAGAUGUGUAAGUAACUAUGCACAUCUUGACGGUACCUAAACAAAAAGCCACGGCUAACUACGUG
rnacentral:rRNA from 1 species